GAAUACUUUCGUCAUUUGCUUAAGCCUGUAACGUAGAUUGAUUUCGCUCCUUCGUGUUCCUCUUAAGCUGGUGUUCUUUGUUUUUUCCUCUUGUUUCUCAAUCAAAUAGCAAGCAAUCAGCCACUUCUAUUAUUACAAGGUCCAUCAGGUGAUUGUUUUGGUUGGAUGGGAGAAGGCGGUGGAUUCCCGCAGCAACACUUUCCUUGGCAAUUGCCUAAUUCGGAUUUGCCAAAUUUCCAAUUCAACUUGGGGUAUCCAGGUCUUAUCUUGGCCCAGAAAAGUAGUGGCCAGAAAAUGGUUCCCGUCCACCGGUGCGUCCUCGCCGCGCGGAGCCUGUUCUUUGGGGCCGCAUUCGCGGGGAGCGAGAGCGGGGCGAGGCUCGAAUUGGCGGAGGUGUUCGGCGUGAGUUCUUUCUUGAGUGUUCUUCCUUUUUUUUUCUGGGGAAAAGGAAGAAAUUGGAGAGGAGCACGCCGGUGAGGAAGCCUCACACUUCGACUUCAGAUCUGCUCAGGUGGUCGGAGACUCCACCCCCCCACGAUUCGACCGGUUCGGCUUCCUCUCGCUCCAAUGCUCGCUCUCACCAGCCUUCGGAUGGGAUCAGCAACGUGGUUUUUGGAGGUCAAGUGACUGCAGAGGAAUCUGAGAAUUUGAACAAAAGAAUAGUGCUUUUGUAAUCUUCCAGGAAGCCUUGUUCUGGCUACAAGUUGAAAGAAAUCACCGGUAGUGGGAUUUUUGCUGCCAAUGGGGAAGAUGAUUUAUUAGAGCCUGGAAGUGCUAACCCUGCUUCAAAUAACAAAACAGGAUUAAAGAUGUACCAGGUUUUCAGUGAGCUUCUGUCUUGAUUGCUGCUCUGCAAUUGCGCUUCUAGAAUUUGAAGUUUGCUAGUAGUCUUGCAAAAGUAAUGAAGGCUCUGCAAGAACUUUAAAGUUUGUUUAUGUGUGGAUGCAGAGCUGAUAAAUGUUGGGCAGAGGCAAGAUGCUCUGCAAGAACUUCACGAUCUUAUUACCUCGAAGAGAUCCCGAGCAUGGCAAAAUACCCUUGAGAGGAUUAUGUUCAAGUACAUUGAGCUA